CGUAGGUGGCAAGCGUUGUCCGGAUUUACUGGGCGUACAGAGCGCGCAGGCGGUCGUUUAAGUCGAAUGUGAAAGCCCCCGGCUCAACUGGGGAGGGUCAUUCGAUACUGAUCGACUUGAAGGCAGGAGAGGGAAGUGGAAUUCCGGGUGUAGUGGUGAAAUGCGUAGAUAUCCGGAGGAACACCAGUGGCGAAGGCGGCAUCCUGGACCGGUAUUGACGCUGAUGCGCGAAAGCCAGGGGAGCAAACGGG
rnacentral:rRNA from 1 species